UACGGAGGAUGCAAGCGUUAUCCGGAAUGAUUGGGCGUAAAGCGUCCGCAGGUGGCUGUGUAAGUCUGCUGUCAAAGAGCAAAGCUCAACUUUGUAAAGGCAGUGGAAACUACACGGCUAGAGUGCGUUCGGGGCAGAGGGAAUUCCUGGUGUAGCGGUGAAAUGCGUAGAUAUCAAGAGGAACACCUGCGGCGAAGGCGGGUUGCUGGGCUGACACUGACGCUGAGGCGCGAAAGCUAGGGGAGCGAACGGG
rnacentral:rRNA from 1 species